rnacentral:rRNA from 1 species
GGGUUCCUAGCGAGCCCAACCUCCCACCCGUGUUUACUGUACCUUAGUUGCUUCGGCGGGCCCGCCAUUCAUGGCCGCCGGGGGCUCUCAGCCCCGGGCCCGCGCCCGCCGGAGACACCACGAACUCUGUCUGAUCUAGUGAAGUCUGAGUUGAUUGUAUCGCAAUCAGUUAAAACUUUCAACAAUGGAUCUCUUGGUUCCGGCAUCGAUGAAGAACGCAGCGAAAUGCGAUAACUAGUGUGAAUUGCAGAAUUCCGUGAAUCAUCGAGUCUUUGAACGCACAUUGCGCCCCCUGGUAUUCCGGGGGGCAUGCCUGUCCGAGCGUCAUUGCUGCCCAUCAAGCACGGCUUGUGUGUUGGGUCGUCGUCCCCUCUCCGGGGGGGACGGGCCCCAAAGGCAGCGGCGGCACCGCGUCCGAUCCUCGAGCGUAUGGGGCUUUGUCACCCGCUCUGUAGGCCCGGCCGGCGCUUGCCGAACGCAA